UCCUGGGACAUGAAGCUCGGCGUCAUCCACGCUCUCGAAGAUUCCACGCUGUUUCAACGUCGAGCGUUAAUGCUGGACAUCACCGAUCUCAUCAACAAAGUCAGAGGGCAGCUUUACAUUUUCACGCACGAAGUCGAGAAUAUCAAGAUUGGCGUAGAAAACAUGACGAGCAUACUGCUCACCCGUGGAAACAACCUUCUGUACAUUCCAAGCAUACAGAG
rnacentral:lncRNA from 1 species